rnacentral:rRNA from 1 species
AAGCCUGGUGCUUGCACCGGGUGGAUGAGUGGCGAACGGGUGAGUAACACGUGAGUAACCUGCCCCUGACUUCGGGAUAAGCCCGGGAAACUGGGUCUAAUACCGGAUACGACUGCCGGACGCAUGUCUGGUGGUGGAAAGUUUUUUCGGUUGGGGAUGGGCUCGCGGCCUAUCAGUUUGUUGGUGAGGUAAUGGCUCACCAAGACGACGACGGGUAGCCGGCCUGAGAGGGCGACCGGCCACACUGGGACUGAGACACGGCCCAGACUCCUACGGGAGGCAGCAGUGGGGAAUAUUGCACAAUGGGGGAAACCCUGAUGCAGCGACGCAGCGUGCGGGAUGACGGCCUUCGGGUUGUAAACCGCUUUCAGCAGGGAAGAAGCGCAAGUGACGGUACCUGCAGAAGAAGUACCGGCUAACUACGUGCCAGCAGCCGCGGUAAUACGUAGGGUACGAGCGUUGUCCGGAAUUAUUGGGCGUAAAGAGCUCGUAGGUGGUUGGUCACGUCUGCUGUGGAAACGCAACGCUUAACGUUGCGCGUGCAGUGGGUACGGGCUGACUAGAGUGCAGUAGGGGAGUCUGGAAUUCCUGGUGUAGCGGUGAAAUGCGCAGAUAUCAGGAGGAACACCGGUGGCGAAGGCGGGACUCUGGGCUGUAACUGACACUGAGGAGCGAAAGCAUGGGGAGCGAACAGGAUUAGAUACCCUGGUAGUCCAUGCCGUAAACGUUGGGCACUAGGUGUGGGGGGCAUUCCACGUUCUCCGCGCCGUAGCUAACGCAUUAAGUGCCCCGCCUGGGGAGUACGGUCGCAAGGCUAAAACUCAAAGGAAUUGACGGGGGCCCGCACAAGCGGCGGAGCAUGCGGAUUAAUUCGAUGCAACGCGAAGAACCUUACCAAGGCUUGACAUACACCGGACCGUCCUGGAAACAGGUCCUCUUCUUUGAAGCUGGUGUACAGGUGGUGCAUGGUUGUCGUCAGCUCGUGUCCUGAGAUGUUGGGUUAAGUCCCGCAACGA